CACUUGUGGGGGGAUUAGUGGCGAACGGGUGAGUAACACGUGAGUAACCUGCCCUUAACUCUGGGAUAAGCCUGGGAAACUGGGUCUAAUACCGGAUAUGACUCCUCAUCGCAUGGUGGGGGGUGGAAAGCUUUUUGUGGUUUUGGAUGGACUCGCGGCCUAUCAGCUUGUUGGUGAGGUAAUGGCUCACCAAGGCGACGACGGGUAGCCGGCCUGAGAGGGUGACCGGCCACACUGGGACUGAGACACGGCCCAGACUCCUACGGGAGGCAGCAGUGGGGAAUAUUGCACAAUGGGCGAAAGCCUGAUGCAGCGACGCCGCGUGAGGGAUGACGGCCUUCGGGUUGUAAACCUCUUUCAGUAGGGAAGAAGCGAAAGUGACGGUACCUGCAGAAGAAGCGCCGGCUAACUACGUGCCAGCAGCCGCGGUAAUACGUAGGGCGCAAGCGUUAUCCGGAAUUAUUGGGCGUAAAGAGCUCGUAGGCGGUUUGUCGCGUCUGCCGUGAAAGUCCGGGGCUCAACUCCGGAUCUGCGGUGGGUACGGGCAGACUAGAGUGAUGUAGGGGAGACUGGAAUUCCUGGUGUAGCGGUGAAAUGCGCAGAUAUCAGGAGGAACACCGAUGGCGAAGGCAGGUCUCUGGGCAUUAACUGACGCUGAGGAGCGAAAGCAUGGGGAGCGAACAGGAUUAGAUACCCUGGUAGUCCAUGCCGUAAACGUUGGGCACUAGGUGUGGGGGACAUUCCACGUUUUCCGCGCCGUAGCUAACGCAUUAAGUGCCCCGCCUGGGGAGUACGGCCGC
rnacentral:rRNA from 1 species